rnacentral:rRNA from 1 species
UACGUAGGGGGCAAGCGUUGUCCGGAAUUAUUGGGCGUAAAGAGCGCGUAGGCGGUCCGAUAAGUCGGCUGUGAAAGUCAGGGGCUCAACCCUUGGAAGCCGGCCGAUACUGUCGGACUAGAGUCCGGAAGAGGCAAGUGGAAUUCCCGGUGUAGCGGUGAAAUGCGCAGAUAUCGGGAGGAACACCAAUGGCGAAGGCGGUUCUCUGGGACGGUACUGACGCUGAGACGCGAAAGCGUGGGGAGCGAACAGG